GGACAAUUUAUUGAAGUCAAUCUCAAGCAAAAUCUGAAGUCAGUGGAAUGUCAUUAAGAACCUUUCCAAAUUAAUCCUCAUGGAAGCAAAAAACACAUCUGAAUUCCAAAGUAUUUGUAAAAUAAAAAAAGGCAACAUCUCAGUAAAUAUAAUGUACAAAAAUUUAUGUUCCUACCAGCACACACAGUAGUAAGAAGCUUAAAAUUCCAGGCAAUCCUAAAUAUACUAUAACUAGUCAACAAUAAGCUAUCUAUAUACAGGUUAACCAAGCUUUACACGUUUCACACUAUGCAGUAAGACAUAGGCCAUUCAACAAAACCCCCAAAAUAUCAUAUAUCUUGAAGUCUAUGUGGCAACAUCAAGUCAUUAUACAGUAAUGCCCUAGUGGAACGCCCCCCAGGGAAAAUGAACACUAAUCCCUUAGUGUCAAGAGCUUCUAGCCAAGUCACAGAAACUCAAAAGAGAUUGACUUUAGUGAAUAUUGAUGCUUUGUUAUUAAAGACUCAAGUCUCAAGGGAUUUAGGCAAAAUAACAUUUCACAGGAUCUACAAAUUUAUUACAGAUAAACAAAGUACAGAAAUAACCAAUCUACAAAGGUCAUUAUCAUAGAUAAAGAUCACAAGAAAAAGAAAACAAUCUGUAGGUAUCUGUGUUUGCUGUGCAAUAUCACAAGUGGUUACAAAUGAAUUUCUCCUAUCAAUUCCAAUUAUGCACACACCCUUGUAUAGAAAAAGGAUCUUAUUUAGCCAGUUGUAAUCAUCAUUUAGUAUCAAUCAUCAUUUAGCAUCUUGGUCAUCGGAGGCAAUGUGAUUUUCUUUUUUAACAGAGGGUAUGUGACAGCACAAAUGAGAUAAAGAGCAGUAUUAAUAACAACAGAGUAAAAAGUAAAUUGUAUCCAGUCCACUCCUAACCUGACAAGAAUACCUCAUACAUACCUCGUCUCGGUGAUCUGAUGGACAUUGCGCGCCCCGCGUGCACACAUCGAAGGUCUGUGGCAGGUGGGGGAGGGGGCGGCACCUGAGGGGGCUUGCCUGCCAACUUGCAGAUCCGGAGAGUCACAUAAGAAAACUAAGGACUGAAUAAAUGACUUUGGCAACUGUUCAUCUUUUUCACUUUUUCUUACAUGUAACUGACUUUCACAGGCUACAGAAGGGCAGGCUGCUCUCCUCCCCACCGUACACACAUCUGUGCCACAAGCACCUGAACUUGUCACUUAAGCAAUGGACUGACGGAGAAAAGAACGGAAAUGGUUUCUGAAACACACACAGACGACACCCUGCGUUUCAGGAGUAUAACGUAAGUGCAAAUUUUUGUUUUUUCCCCUACACAGGCAUAUAUUAAAAGGAAAGAAGAGCUGCACAGGGAUGGGGUUGACAAAAAUACAAGAGAAAGAACACACAUGGCGAAUACUCAUAAAAAUGCUGGUAUUUCAUGCAAGAGUCUCUUCCUCGAAUGUAUACACGAAAUCUGAGCUAUCUGCUGUGGACACUCCAUCCCACUCGCAGAACUUUGCCUUUAAUCCAAGUUGAAGAGGACAAGAGACUAGGCUAUUUGUUUUCAAAACAGUAUACAAAACAAUGCUUUCUACUUCAUAAAUUUAAAAAUAACUGUAAAAUAAGGGGAAUCUGAAGAGUUUCAAGUACUUAAAAAACCUGAAUUCAAUGAGGCAGAGGUCUCAAUGUUAAAGUGACUACUUCGUACCUGUGGUAAACAUUGUCAUUCCCCCUCCCUCACCCUGUUCUAACCCCCUUUUCUUCCUGUACCCCGCCCCGGGGAAAAGUUGGUAGAUUUCAGUAGGUACACAUUUCCAACUUUUCAAUAUUCGUUAAUACAUGGCAAAGCCGUCUAAUCAGAUCUCUCCCUAGCUUAGCUGAAAAUGGAGGCGAGCUCUCCUCUCGGUUUACAGACAACCAGGGAGCAACCGCAAGUGGUCUAGGCCAACGGAAAUCGUUCCAAAUGAUCACUUUGUGUGUGCAGCAACCUGGCCAACUCCGGAAGUCGACUCUGCUCCACCUGGCAGUAAAGCCACUUGCCAGCGGCAUCGCACCUCCUCCCAGGUGAGCUUCCCAAGCCCAAAGGGCUCUACCACAACCCGUGUCCUUAUCCUCUCGGGACAUGGCAUGUGGCAGCUCCCUGAUUUCAAGGUGAAUGCUAAAGGAAGCUUUGUACUUAACAAUGAAAUGAAGGACCAGCCAUGAACCUGGGGCGUCCAGUGAUGACGCUCUGUAGGGCUGCCCUCUGCCGUCCAGGCUGGCUCUGACCCUGAUUAGAACACAGACUGCGCAGCGAGGCCAAAAGGAAACUACUUCAUGAGCCAGGAGAGAAACUUGUCUAACAGCCUGCCUGCUCUGAGAGUCUUUUACAUGGUUAUCUCAGAAUUUCAAAACAUUAUUUACAAGCAUGUUUCCAAGUAUUAUGUGGAAAUAGCAGAAGGGAGCUCAGAGCCACACCCCCAUUAUUAUUAUUACUAUUAUUAUUAUUUUAGUUUUUACAUUUGUUCCUGACUUGAACACACAGAGAGCUCCAAGUUUCAGUGAUUCUAAAAAUCGGCCUAUUCUAUAGCUCAGGCCAGAUCAUUUCAGAGAAUUAAGGUAGAGUGGGAAUUUGUUAAGAUAAAAAUGAAAAUAAAACCCACCUCCCUCCUGACUCUAACCCUGAUUAGAUAUUAAAGAAGAGAAUCACUUCCUCCAGCCGUGCUGGCCUUCCAGGAAUGAGGGGCAGGUGACUGCAACCCUCCUGACCCUGCUACUGGCCACGGGCCAGCCCCUGUCUGCUCCGUGCAUGCCGGGAGGGCCCAUUUCCUCUACGGUUGUAACCCAACAGAUUUCUGAAGCUUUAUGCUGAUUAUCAAAAACUUUACAUUCACUUUUUCCAAAGAAGUAAUAUGAGGCUAAAAAACAAACAAACAAAAACCACCAUUAUCCCAUGAUGCUUUAUCUCAUUUUUGGACAAGAAUAAAACCCAAACCAUUUCUGCUCUGACCACGGAUUUGAAAGUUAACAAAACCAACUACAGACCACAAGAGAGCAACACGUCCUCUGGUCCACCGGGUUGGUGAGGCGCAGGCAAGCACGGUGCGUGCACACGCUGCGCACGGGAAGCACAGCUUUCUCCCCCGGCUUUCCGCUUCCACAGCCUGCAACGUGAAGAUACAAAGAUACGUACAACAAGUCGGUCGUGACGCCACGGAGGUGUGAGGAGAGCUCUGGGCCACUGGCGGGACGAAAGCCUCUUUCUGGACCACUAAAGAGCACUCCUGGAUGAAGCCUCCAGAGCUGUAAGAAGAACUCUAAAUUGAUAAGAAAAAAGGAACACACAGAACUGAAGGAACAUGGCUGAGCAUCUCCCCUCCCUCCCUUCCGAAGGUUCCUAGGUGCUUCUUGAGGGAAAAUAAAUGCCACCAGAGUGAAGACAUCUCUUUUUUUCCCCGCUGCAAAGGCAUGAAGCAUAAUAGAAGGCAAGAGAAGACCAAGGGAAUUUGGCGGGCUACGA